rnacentral:miRNA from 2 species
UGGGAUAUCUCGGAAGGUUUCG